rnacentral:tRNA from 1 species
CUUUUAAAGGAUCAAAGUUAAUCCGU